rnacentral:pre_miRNA from 7 species
AUUUAUGGAGUCUAAUGAAAGACCCCCGAAGGGAGACCCUCACUCAAGCCUCGGGAUAUGGCGCGGACCCAAAUGAGACGCGGAGACCG